AGAGUUUGAUCAUGGCUCAGAAUGAACGCUGGCGGCGCGCCUAAUACAUGCAAGUCGAGCGAGAAGACGUAGCAAUACGUUUGUAAAGCGGCGAACGGGUGAGGAAUACAUGGGUAACCUACCCUAGAGUGGGGAAUAACUAGCCGAAAGGUUAGCUAAUACCGCGUACGCUUCUUGGACUUCGGUUCAGGGAGGAAAGCGCUACCGAGGGUAGCGCGCUCUUGGAUGGGCUCAUGUCCUAUCAGCUUGUUGGUGAGGUAAUGGCUCACCAAGGCUUCGACGGGUAGCUGGUCUGAGAGGACGAUCAGCCACACUGGCACUGCGACACGGGCCAGACUCCUACGGGAGGCAGCAGUAAGGAAUAUUGCGCAAUGGGCGAAAGCCUGACGCAGCGACGCCGCGUGGGGGAUGAAGGUCUUCGGAUUGUAAACCCCUUUCAGGAGGGAAGAUGGAAUGGGGUAACCCAUUCGGACGGUACCUCCAGAAGCAGCCACGGCUAACUUCGUGCCAGCAGCCGCGGUAAUACGAAGGUGGCAAGCGUUAUUCGGAUUUACUGGGCGUACAGGGAGCGUAGGCGGUUUGGUAAGCCCUCUGUGAAAUCUCCAGGCUUAACCUGGAAAAGUCUGAGGGGACUGCUGGGCUAGAGGACGGGAGAGGAGCGCGGUUGUCACGAUGUAACUGUGUCUUGCGUCGUUCUUUUAUUCGUAGGACUUCUC
rnacentral:rRNA from 1 species